rnacentral:rRNA from 1 species
GUGUCAGCAGCCGCGGUAACACGUAGGGGACGAGCGUUGUCCGGAUUCAUUGGGCGUAAAGCGCGCGUAGGCGGCCCGGAAAGUCGGUUGUGAAAUCCUGGGGCUCAACCCCAGGACUGCGUCCGAUACUUCCGGGCUGGAGGCAGGUAGGGGAGAUCGGAAUUCCUGGUGUAGCGGUGAAAUGCGCAGAUAUCAGGAGGAACACCGGUGGCGAAGGCGGAUCUCUGGGCCUUGCCUGACGCUGAGGCGCGAAAGCUAGGGGAGCGAACAGGAUUAGAAACCCGAGUAGUCC